CAACUUUUAUAAAUUACCUGUCUUUAAUUUUAUUGAAAAUAUUUACAUGGCUACAAAAUCAAAAUUAUACAACAGAUCACAUGCAGUUAAGUCCAGGUUCCAUCCCUUCCCUUCUAUCCUGUUCUUUCUCUCUCCUUAGAGGUUCCCCACUGUAUUGGUUUUUGGUUUCUCCUUCCCUUAGUAUCUUUUGAUAAGAUAAGCAAAUAUGUGUCUAUCAUAUACCCCCUCUCUUAAAUGAAAGAUAGCAUGCUAUAAACACUGUUCUGUAACUUGCUUGUCUUAGCUAUAUAUACUGGAAAGUAUUUCAUAUUAGUAUAUAGAGAUACUUCUUAUUUAUCUUUAUAGUUGUGCAAUAUUCCAUUGUAUGGAUUCACCAUAAUUUAUUCAACCAGUGCCUUAUUGAUGGACAUAUGGGUUGUUUCCAACCUCUUACUAUUACAAUUAUUGGCAAUGGAUAUCCUUAUACUCUGUCAUCUUAUAUUUUUACCAGUUUUCUUUUUGAAGUAGAUUCCUGGAAGCAGGAUUGCUGUGUCAAAGGUUAGGUGAAUUUGUAAUUUUGCUAAAUGGUCCAAAUUCCCCUCCAUGGGGCUGUAUUCUCUUGCACUUUCACCAGAAACUUAUGAGAGAACUCGUUUCCUGAAAGUUUAUUGACAGAAUAUGUUGUUGGUCUAUGGAUUUUUGCCAAUCUGAUAGCUGAGAAAUGAUAUCUCAGUAGAGUGUUAUCUUGCAUUUUUUUUUAUUCAGAGGAAAUCAAGUUUACCAUAUUUUUGCAGUGGGGUCACUUGCACUUCCCCUCUGCAAACCAUUCAUAAACUCUGCCCAUUUUUCUGUAGGGUUGUUGAUGUUUCACUUUUCAAUUUUUAGUUAUCUGUUAGGAAUAUUUAUGUUUUGUUUACAAUAUAUGCUGCAUUUUAGAGAAGGCAAAGUGCUAUGACUCUUUUACAGGGAAUUUGGGAACAUCUAGGAAAAUUACUAAUGCAUUUUCCCUUUGACCCAGCCACUACACAGAGACACUGGACCUGACACUGCUUGAGCUGCUGACCCAACAGCUGCCUACCUCUAGGCUUCUUGUUAUACAAGAAAAAUAAAUCCUUUAAGUUACUGCAAUCAGUUUUUAAAUUUUUCUUGUUACUUGAAGAUGCUUUCCUACUUGAAUACAUACAAGUUUCUCUACACAUCAAACUAUUGUAAAUAUUUAAAUGUUUUCCUAUUUCACCAGGCAGGUCAAGAGUAUCUAUUCUUCUUAUCCAACCACUAUCUGUCACCCCUCUCAUUUCUCUCUUAUAUUUUCUUUCAUGUUUUCCCAUGCAUUAUGUUAUCCUUAUUCAGUGAUGCAGUUAUAAAAUAUAUAAUCUGAUGCAGAAUCUAAUGUGAGUCCUCCCCACACCCCCGCCAGGGAACAAGAGUUCAGGGAAGCAGAAAGAGGAGAUAAAUCGUUUCUUUUUCUUCUCCUUCCUUUCUUUGGAAUGAACUCUCACACUAGAAGGUGGUUACCUAAGUACACAAGCAGUGUACUUGCUACAGCUCUCUGUGUCCAGGAGAUAUCCAAAGACACUGUGAAUGAGACAUGCAUGAAGCCUGGGCUGCCUUGGCUGUGUUUCUUUUCUGGCUACCGUCCCCUUGGCUGUAUAAAUGGUAUAUCUUCUCUCCUUGACCUCUGGGGAGCUCCUGUAUUUCAGGAGUCUACUGCUUUGGCUCAGUUUGCAACUGUGCUUAUCAUUUCAGAUGGAGGAUCUGGAUUCAGCACUAAGGCUCGUAGAUCCUCACCCAUAGAAUGAAAGCAUUAGUACCAAGGGAUUUAUAUUCUAGGAUAUUUAUUGCUACAUCAUUUGUAGUGGCCAAAAAAAAAAAAAAAAAGAGAGAGAAGCAACACCAUAAAUGAGCAUCAAUAGGGCCAAUGAAUGAUGGCACAUUUAAACAAUGGGGCAUUGUUUUGCACCUAAAAAAUUAGUUAGGAAGUCCCCAUCGUGGCGCAGUGGGAACAAAUCUGACUAGGAACCAUGAGGUUGUGAGUUCGAUCCCUGGCCUCGCUCAGUGGGUUAAGGAUCCAGUGUUGCCGUGAGCUGUGGUGUAGGUCACAGAUGCGGCUCGGAUCCUGCGUUGCUGUAGCUCUGGUGUAGGCCGGUGGCUACAGCUCCAAUAAGACCCCUAGCCUGGGAACUUUCAUAUGCGCGGGGGUGGCCCUAAAAAAACAAAAGACAAAAAAAAAAAAAAAUUAGUUAGAGCUGGGUCUUCUGACCUGGAGAGAGGGCAAUCUAUCCUCUACUGGAAAAGCUACUGCAGUGAAAUGUAUUCAGUGUAUUCCACUUUUCCUAUUUAUUUUCAAUGACCAAAAAGUCUUCCUUUGUUUGUGUCUUUGUAUUUGUUUAUAAUUUUGAAUAUUCUGUGUAUGCUGGCCCUCAGGUCCUUUAUGUGUAAACUGAGGAUAACAUGAGUAUUUCCCUCAUAAAAUUGUGAUGAUUAAAUGAGCUAUAGCAGCUAAUGUGGUUAAAAAAAAUGCCUACCUUAUAAUAAGCAUGAAGUAAGUGUUUGCUAUUAUUGUUACUAUUAUUAUUUUUAAAUGAACAGAGAGAUGUUCUCAGGCUUUUUAUGCUGCUUACAGUGUGGGCAAAGAGAAGGUCGGAAAACAGGGAGGUAAACAGAUUUUCACAAAAUGUAAGUAUUUUUGUGGUAAAAAUUAAGGUGAAAAUGUGGAAAGUAAUAUUUUAAGUUAUAGCUAUAAGAUUAUAAGGAAUAUGAAGUAACUACAUAUGUACGUGAAAAAAAUAAGAAUAUUGAUUUAACUAGAUGGCUCAAGUACAGGCUGUAUUUUAAAAAAUUUUAUAUAGUUGAUUUACAAAGUUCUGUCAAUUUCUGCUAUACAGCAAAGCGACCCAGUGAUACAUAUACAUACAUUCUUUUUCUGAUGUUAUCUUCCAUUACGUUUCAUCACAGGUGACUGAAUAUAGUUUCCUGUGCUGUAUAGUAGGACCUCAUUGCUUUUCCACUCCAAAUGCUAUAGUUUGCAUCUACUAAGCCAUUUUUAUCUUAGAUCCUGAGGUUAUUUCAAUGUUGUUUUUCUUAUCAACUAUUUUAGAAGAGGGCCUCAGAGCUCCUGGCACAUUGGUGGUAAAUGAUAGCUAUUGCUAAAGUAAUUUUAAUAUAAGAGCUGUUUCCCUAGCAGCUUUCCAUCCUUGAGUUCCUUCCCAAACACCUAUGGCUCCUCGCAGUAGCCUGUAAUGAACUCCACUCUACUCCAUGGCAUAUCUGUUGAUUAUUUCUGUUUGCAAAACUGUGUUAGCCCUGUGACGCUAAGUCAGCAGGGAACCAUGAUCAAUAAGGUUGCCAAUGAUUCAGCUGCAAAAGGCAGCAGUAUCUGAUCCUGAGGUCCUAUACCCAUUGCAACCUAAUCUACACAGUGGACAUGAGAGGAAGAGCCUCAUUUUUUGACACAACACAGAGCCAAUUUUUCAGAUUGAGGCUCCAACCUUCAGGGAAGUCACUCUGAAGAGAAGAAUAUUUAGGCGUUAAAUCAUCAUUUCCCAUUUAACCAGACAGGGCACACCCAGCUCUAGUAAUGCAGAUCAGCAGAAGUGCAGGCCAAGGGGGAGAGAGGCCUAGAACGGAUGGAAUGAUGAAUGUUGGUCAUGGCCUUGGGACCAGCACAGUGGGGAUGUAACUUGCUCUAUUAACCUUAAGUUUUACUGGAAAUUUAGACUGGCCAGAACCUAAAGGGACUCUGUGACUGACUGGAUUUUUACCCCCCCUCUCAGGGAGAAGUGAAGGCGUCUUAUUCUCAAAAAACAACUGCACACUUGAUACUGUAAUCUGGAAGAGGAUAUAAUGGGAGGGUCUGAUGGAUCGAGAGAUUCAAGGGGUGCAAUGUGUUGGAUACAUCUCAGGGGCUCCUUCAGAUCCUCCUGACUUCACCUUCUUAGCUUCUUUUGGCUCCACCUGCAACCUGGCUCCUCAGCUGACUGCUCUGUCUUGGCCACCAGUUUCCUAUGGGCCCCUCAGGUUGACCAAAUGCUCAGCGUUUCGGUUCCUCCCACUACCUCCAGAAUCAGGUAAAAAGAGCACUAAGGGCACAGGACCCCGCCUUCCAAAGAACUCUCAAAGGGCCCGAAUGAUGACACCUGGAAACAUGCAGGAAUUCACUCCACGUGGGGCAAGCUUUGAUCCAUGCGAAAUAAGAGAUGGGAGGGAAUGGAUAAGUUCCCUCUCGUUCCUUCCUUCAACUGACUGCUCCAAGAGACAGUUUCUCUGUAUAACCUGCCUGCAGACUUCCACAUGGCUGAGCAACCCACCUGCCAAGCAAGUUGCAAUGUCUUUCCUCCAGGCAUCCCAAGGCAGGGGUCAACUCAGUAAUCAUCUUACAUUACUUGUUGCUUUACUUCCCCUUUUCCUCAUUCUUCCCACUCUAGGUUUAUACAUCACAAUAAAACUAUUAGCACAUAAUCCUUACCCCAGGCUCUGUUUUCUAGAGUACUUUGGUGGACUGAAUAAUGGUCCUUGAAAGAUGCCUAUCUCCUAAUCCCAGGAACCUUUGAUUAUGUUACUUUACAUAGUAAAAUGGACCUUGCAAAUAUUAAGUUAAGCAUCUUCAUAUGGGGAGUUUAUCCUGGCUCAUCCCAAGGAAUCACAAGUGUCCCUAUAAGGGGGAGGCAGGAGGGUUAAAAUUAGGGGAUGUAAUGAUGGAAGCAGAGAUUGGACGGAUGGAGCCAGGAGCCAAGGAAUGUGGGUGUUUGUCGAGGCUGGAGGAGGAAAGGAACUGCCUCCCCUGGAGUCUCCAGAAGGAAUCCUAAGAAUACCCUGUGCCCUGGAAGAUUCCUUUCAGACUUUUGACCUCCAGAACUGUCAGAGAAUAAAUCUGUGUUGUUCUAAACCACUAAGCUUGUGGUAAUUUGUAAUGGCAGCCAUAGGAAGCUAAUAAGGAACCUUAGACAAAACAUUUAAUACCCUGCUUUUGUGAAAAAUCCUAUUUUGCAUGACUAAGGCUAAAUGUCAUAUUGUACUUUCCCUCUGAAUUCCUUCUGCGAACCGUAUCUUAAUCUCUUCUCAGGCAGAUGCAUGCCCUGGGAGGACUAGGGCUAAGUUUUAUUCUCUGGAAGCCAACUGUUUACAUAUACAUGUAUAUAUCUAUAGACAACAAAAACAGGAAGACUGGAAGGAUAUAAUAAUGGCAGCAGGUGACUUAUUUCCUGUCUUAAACUGUUACAGAUUUUCCCAAUUGUCUCUAGCAAACAAGCAUUUAUUUCAUAACAAAAAACACCCUUUGAAGUGAUUGGAUAUGAGAGAGUCUAAGUAUUUGCACCAUUCUCCAGUACUUGAGCAGUAAACACAAAAAACAGACUACCAUGAGCUGGAAGGAUCCAGGAAGCUUUCACAGAGGAGGGAGGAGUCUGAGCAAGGCCUGGACAGAUGGGUAUUUGAGAUGUAGAGCAGCUAGAGGAAGGGGCAUGAUGUGAGCCAAGAAAAGAGUGUAUUUUCCCAGGUUAAUAAAUAAACCCACUUGACGUAAGAGGAACAUCUGCAGAGAAUAUAAUAAUAGCAUAAAGAAAAAAAUAAUUUACCCAGCAUUUACUUUUUGCUGGAUUAUCUAAUUUAAUCCUCCCGAAAAGCUCAUGAGGAAGGUUCUAACAAUAUCCUAAAUAUACAAAUGAAGAAUAGAUGCCAUUAACUGGCCAGCAAGUGAUAGAUCACUCCAGAGCUUAUAUUUGAGAGAUGGAUUGGAGGUGUAGGAUGAAUAAGAACCCUUAAGGCCUUGAAAUACCAAAUGUAAUAAUUUUCUAUUGCUUUUUCAUAUGUUUCAGCCCUACCCCUCAAUGGGUAGUACUGGGAGGUGGGGGCUUUGAGGGCAUGAGAGUGGGAGCCUUCAUGAAUGGGAUUCAUGCCCUCCCAAGAAGACAGGGCCAGAGAGAUGAUCUCUCUCCACCUCGUAGGACAUGCAAGAGGACAGCCAUAUGCAAACCCGGAAAAGGCUCCUUACCAGAACUUGACCAUGCUGGCACCCUGAUCUCGGACUUCCUAGCUUCCAGAACUGUGAACAAUAACUUUCCAUUGUUUAAACCACCUAGUCUAUGGUAUUUGGUUAAAGCAGCUUGAACUAAGACAUUGCAUAACUAAUUGCUAAAAAUUUAGCAGAUUAAAAGGAUAUUUAUUUAUAUCAUAGUUCUGGAGGUCAGAGUGGUUUAACCAAGGGUCAUGAGGCUGAACUCACAGUGUUGGUCAGAUUGGCCUCUUACCAGGAGGCUCUGGGGAAAAAUCAGCAUCUAGGCUCCUUCAGGUUGCCGGUGGGAUUGGGCUCCUUAUGUUUGGGAGACUGAAGUUCCUGCUUCCUUGCUGGCUAUUGUUGAAUCCUCCCCAUGCUUCUAAUCUCUGAUUUCCUCUUCUGCUACCAGCUAGAGAAAACUCUCUGCUUUUAACAGGCUUAUAUGAUUAAAUUGGGUCCACCUAGAUAAUCCCCCUUUUGCUGUCUUGCCUAAUUAUGGGAGCAAUGGUUCAUCUCGUUAACAGAUUCCACCAACACUCAAAGGAGAAUGGAUUUUCCAAGGAUCAGUGCCAUCAGGUUAUUUUUAGAAUUUUGCCUCCCACCCCUAAGUUAAGGAUUUGGAGUUUUGGUUGAAAAGAAUCUGUGUUGAGGAAUUGCACCUUGCUGACAAGUGGGGUUUGGAAAUGUUACUGGGCAUUCGUGUAUAGGUGGGACUAAGGUGAGGAAAGAGUAAAGACAGGAAGACUGAAAGAUCAGGGCUAAGAUGAUGAUGGCCUAGAUUAGCAAAGGCUCCAGGAAAGCUGAGAGAAGACAGAUAGGAAAGAAAUGAAGAAGUGAGACUUACUAGGCCUGGUGAUUCAUUCUGCAGCACUCUGACCUUUUAGAACACUUUCACAUCCAUUAUUUCAUCUGAUCCUCAUUACGCACCUGAGAGGCAGAGACAUUAUUCUCUCCUCCUGACAAAUGAAGAAACCGGCAAGUCCCUGAACAUCCCUGGGCUUCAAAGGUCAUCCUGCGGAUCUGCGGUCCUGGCCACUUGACUCAGCCCCACUCUUCCUGGAGCUCAGGAAAAGGAAAUCGUGCAGGAUAGAUUGAUGGCCUUAUUCCCACGCGCCACCCUUGCUCCUGCUGUUCACCCUUGCUCGUGCCCAUGGGCAGUCCCUUCCUAAGUGACACAGCUAGGGGACCUGAUUGACGGGCAUAUGGCUGAGGGAGGGAGAAAUGCCUUUCAUACUCGGGAACCCCAGCAUUCCCAGGGAGGCUGUGAGGAGGGAGGAAGGGAGGGGAGAGAAGGGAGAGGGCAGCAUGGGGUGGGGGGGAUAUUCUCACCCCUGUUAGGUGGAAAGAAGAUGGGGGAGGGAGAACAUUUUUAUUUUUUUAAAACAUCACUUUGAAAAAAGGAAUGAAAGGGUAAAGAGAAGGUGGAGGGAAUGUGAAAAGAGAGUAAAAGGGGCUGUGGAGUACCCUGAGGACAUCUAUUAAGGGGCACAAGACUCUAGAAGAAAAAAUGCGGCAUUACAGAGGAUCAAAAAGGGGGGAAAGGCAUGCAAAAUUCCACCAGGCAGAAAUAGCCCUUUGAAGAUUUUGGAGCCAGAAUUCCCAAGUUUUGUAUGUGUGUCCUAUAACAGGUACCUACUGUUCUAGAAAUCUGCUUUUGUGGUCGAUCAAUAAAUAGGACAACUGUCAGGGAUGGUCCCUGGGGCCAGUAGGAGAGGCUGCAUCUCCAAGCGGAUUCCUGCAGGGCUGUUCCCCCUCCCCCCUCCACCCCCACCAGUGGACAGGCACCAGGCAAGCCCCGUCUUCCCCUCUCUGCAGGAAAGCCGUCUACUUAGCUGGCCCUUGACUGCCUAUUCUUCAGAAACAAAUCACUGCAAAAAAAUCACUCCAUUAAGAAAUACAGCUCAGUAAUUUCAGCCCUUAAAUGCUUGCUUUUUCUCCAGCCCGCCUGAAUAGGAGAAAAGCAGAAAGGAGAAUUUUAAAUGGCACAUAUUGAUUGGCUUGGCGCACCAAAAGAAGGUACUUUUACCAGCUUUUCAAAUUACAAUUUAUUCAAUAGUGAGAAAGUAACUCAAUUUGAGGAAGAGCUCUGACACCCUUAGGAGUUGCUUUCUUGCCAUUUAAGUUUUAUCAUUAUGAUCGUUCACUCAUCAUUCUCAGGAAGCCACGGGCAGAGCACAGUUCUUGGCACCAAGGAGGCAAUCGAUAAAGGCCAUUGAAUUAAUGAGGCUAUAACUGGCAGGGAAAUUCAAAUUCCAGAGACUUGGGAAAUUCAAUGUGGGCUGAAAUGAGUUGAACUUGCAAAGUUUAUACCCUUUGGUCAGUACUGGGAAGAUCACAGGGUUUAGAGUCAGCCUGACCUAGGUUC
rnacentral:lncRNA from 1 species